ensembl:lncRNA
UAAGAAAAUUUCGGUCUCUUUCUGCAGCACAUAUUAAAGCACUGGAAACUAGACAUGAGUUUUCAUGUUAACUGGAUGUAAUAGCAACUAGGCUCUUCUGAUACUAGAAUUGUCAGUCGCUGCGUAGUGAUAGAGGUGUCUCUUUUGCAGUGAUUAAAUAUCAGUAUUGCAGAUGAAGCACAGUUUUUGGAAGAACUCCCCGUGCUCAGCUUCUCUUACAAGCUUGUACGAUUGGCACUGAAAGAGGCAAUUGAGGAUGUUCUGCUGUAAACCCAAGUAUCAUAAAUUUACCAUACUUUUGUAUCUUCCUUCAUUUUUAACUCUUCUCCAAAUUGGUAUGUUUAGCUCAAUCUAAAAUGUUCCCUAUCAGUGAUGUUGACUUUACAUUAACAAAUGCAUACUUGCCAAACUCUGUUGCUGUAUGUUGGAAUAAGAGGUGAGUCCUUGGGCAGAAGGAAGCUUUGAGCAAAUGUCAACAACUCAGACUUUCAUUUUCUGAUAAAUAUGCUAUGCUCAUGUAUUGACUUGUGGAACAAUAAAGUUCUAGCCUCACAAGUUUACUGCUCACUCUGUGUUAAUGGAAAUAUUUUUAUUAYCCUGCACAAAUAACUUGGUUAAGAGCACCAUAAAUGUUUUGUUGGCUACUUCUUCCUUUGUGAGAGCGCUAAUGCAUAUGUCUCUAAAGAAUUCUCAAAGAUGACUUCCAGUUUCAGUGGCUUUUGGGGGUGUUUCCCAGACAGAGAUGCUGAUCUACACUUGCUUGAAGUGGCCYAGUAAGUGUGACUUUUUGGCUACUGACUACAGCCAGUGCUGCUUUUUUCUUGUCUGUAGUAUGCUGCAGUAUUUUUACCAUCUUGGAUCAUAGGAAAGGAACAGYGGGUUGUGAAGAACCUUGUGACAACUCCUCUUUUGUGUCCAUAGCACAGUCUAACUUCCAACACUUKUCCAGCUGAAGGAAUCUCUGUAGUGCUUUGGAGGAAGAUGUUUCUGGAACAUGUCAAGUAAAAAGAUGGUGAUGGGAGAGGAUGUAUUGGAUUAUCCAGGAGGAAAAACAGAACAUCUUCAUCUCUGGACCAUCAGUGAAGUGAGGAAAGGAAGGCAGUGGUGUUCAAUGUUAUAAAGACCUGUAUUCCUUGGGGAUAAAGUCUUGGUAGGUUUGAGUUAAUAUGUGCCUUCUAUGAGAUUUCUUUCAUCUGUACUUCACUUUCAUGUUUAAGGAAGAAAGCUGUUUGGGUGAGGCAGCUGCCAUUUUAAGAGGCAGAGCUGAGAUGUGACUUGAAUUUCCUCUUUCUUCUGUUGUCUUCCUGAUAUCAACAAAGUCAUUCUUAAGGAAAAAAGAGGAUUGUUCUUUCUUAGCAGAGAAGCAAGGGAAGAUUUGAGUGUCAGUGAGUGUCGUGGCCUGAAUUUCAGAAAUAACCAUCUAAAAGUCAGUGAAACUAAAAUUAUUUUUGAGGAGUGUGUUUAAAAACAAACAAACAAACAAAAAACUUUAAUAUGAUCAGAAUAGGUAACAAGUUUUGACAUGAGAAUUUUGACCAUUUGUCAUUAGAGAGGCUACACUUUGAUUUCCAAUAAUAUUUCUUUUGUGGAUUACUGUCAAAGCAUUCUGUUCACAUGGUUAUUACCUACAGUYAACUUUUUGCCAGUAAAUUAGGACUCUUUGCCUUUUUCUUCCAGCAAACCAAAGCAAUGCAGCUCUUGAAAAAUGUCUUCUGUUCAG